rnacentral:rRNA from 1 species
GAUGAACGCUAGCGGGAGGCUUAAUACAUGCAAGUCGAGGGGUAACAGGGGCUUCGGCCCGCUGACGACCGGCGCACGGGUGAGUAACGCGUACGCAACUUACCUCCAAGCGAGGGAUAGCCCUGGGAAACUGGGAUUAAUACCUCAUGUGAUUAUGAUGCCGCAUGGUGUUAUAAUUAAAGUUCAGGCGCUUGGAGAUGGGCGUGCGUCCUAUUAGCUAGUUGGUGAGGUAACGGCUCACCAAGGCGACGAUAGGUAGGGGGCGUGAGAGCGUGGCCCCCCACACGGGUACGUGAGACACGGACCCGGACCUCCUACGGGAGGGCAGCAGUAAGGAAGUAUUGGACGAAUGGGCGGCAAGCCUGAUCCAGCCAUCCCGCCGUGCAGGAUGACAGCCCUACCGGGUUGGUAAACUAGCUUUUGUUUAGGGAAGGAAACCCCUCCGAUUUAUUCGGGGGCGUGACGGUACCUUUUCGAAUAAAGCACCGGCGUAACUACCGUGCCACGCAGCCCGCGGUAAAGUCAGUGACU